rnacentral:rRNA from 1 species
CCUACGGGAGGCAGCAGUGAGGGAUAUUGGUCAAUGGGGGAAACCCUGAACCAGCAACGCCGCGUGAGUGAAGACGGUCUUCGGAUUGUAAACCUCUGUCCUCUGUGAAGAAAAUGACGGUAACAGAGGAGGAAGCUCCGGCUAACUACGUGCCAGCCGCCGCGGUAAUACGUAGGGAGCGAGCGUUUUCCGGAUUUACUGGGUGUAAAGGGUGCGUAGGCGGCGCUGCAAGUCAGAAGUGAAAUCCAUGGGCUUAACCCGUGAACUGCUUGUGAACCUGUAGGGCUUGAGUGAAGUAGAGGCAGGCGGAAUUCCUGGUGUAGCGGUGAAAUGCGUAGAGAUCGGGAGGAACACCAGUAGCGAAGGCGGCCUGCUGGGCGGUAACUGACGCUGAAGCACGAAAGCGUGGGUAGCAAACAGGAUUAGAUACCCUAGUAGUC